UUUCUUUUCAGUUCUUUGCCUCUGAAGUUUAACGUUUUUUUUAAUUAAAUUUUGUAAUAGCGACUUUUUGAAAAAACACGUUAUUAAAGAAGGUUGGAACGAGUGCAAAAUCAGGUUUUUCACCAUUGCGCAUUGGGACUGGCUUGUAUUAACUUCGCAUCCUUCAAAACAACGCCGGAAUACAUUACGAUACAUACAGAAACAAUUCGAAAAUGGGUUAACAAUAGUUGUAUGUUUGUAGAAAUUGAAAAAUUCAGACCUGGCAUGGCGUCAAACCGAUUGGGGCAGUUCAGCCAACGACAGAUUUUUACUGAUGGGAGUGUAAUCAUUGAAAAGAAUCAAGAGGUAAGAAUGACAUGCCCAUAUUUCUUUUGUCGAAUGCAAAUUGACCUUUGCAAUAAAGUCAACGAAGGGGUCAUGGGGAGGAGGUAGCCUACGGAGACACUACGUGGUAGAAUACAUAUUUCAUUCAUGUAUUAUUUUGUUGUAUUCCUAGUAAGCACUUUUUAAGAUGCUAGUUUUGUACAUAUUUAGUUCUCACUUACAAC
rnacentral:lncRNA from 1 species